UACGUAGGGUGCAAGCGUUAAUCGGAAUUACUGGGCGUAAAGCGCGCGCAGGCGGUCUUCCAAGUCAGUGGUGAAAGCCCGGAGCUCAACUCCGGAACUGCCAUUGAAACUGUUAGACUUGAGGACGAGAGAGGUGAGUGGAAUUCCCAGUGUAGAGGUGAAAUUCGUAGAUAUUGGGAAGAACACCGGUGGCGAAGGCGGCUCACUGGCUCGUAUCUGACGCUCAGGCGCGACAGCGUGGGGAUCAAACAGG
rnacentral:rRNA from 1 species